rnacentral:rRNA from 1 species
GGUGAACGCUGGCGGCGUGCUUAAGACAUGCAAGUCGAACGCAGUCUUCGGACUGAGUGGCGCACGGGUGAGUAACACGUAACUGACCUACCCCCAAGUCGCGAAUAACCAGCUGAAAGGAUGGCAAAUACGUGAUGUGAUGAUCCGCUGUGGCGGAUCAUUAAAGACUUGAUCGCUUGGGGAUGGGGUUGCGUUCCAUCAGCUAGUUUGUAAGGGAAGGGCUUACCAAGGCAACGACGGAUAGCCGGCCUGAGAGGGUGGCCGGCCACAGGGGCACUGAGACACGGGUCCCACUCCUACGGGAGGCAGCAGUUAGGAAUCUUCCACAAUGGGCGCAAGCCUGAUGGAGCGACGCCGCGUGAGGGAUGAAGGUUCUCGGAUCGUAAACCUCUGAACCAACGACGAAAGACCCGACAAGGGAGAUGACGGUAGUUGGGUAAUAGCACCGGCUAACUCCGUGCCAGCAGCCGCGGUAACAC